UUAGUGGAGUUUUUAGACUCCACAAAUAGAAUGAGAGAAUUGACA
rfam:Gossypium raimondii chromosome 4, whole genome shotgun sequence.